rnacentral:rRNA from 1 species
AACGAACGCUGGCGGCAUGCCUAACACAUGCAAGUCGAACGAAGGCUUCGGCCUUAGUGGCGCACGGGUGCGUAACGCGUGGGAAUCUGCCCUUGGGUUCGGAAUAACAGCGGGAAACUGCUGCUAAUACCGGAUGAUGACGUAAGUCCAAAGAUUUAUCGCCCAAGGAUGAGCCCGCGUAGGAUUAGCUAGCUGGUGGGGUAAAGGCCCACCAAGGCGACGAUCCUUAGCUGGUCUGAGAGGAUGAUCAGCCACACUGGGACUGAGACACGGCCCAGACUCCUACGGGAGGCAGCAGUGGGGAAUAUUGGACAAUGGGCGAAAGCCUGAUCCAGCAAUGCCGCGUGAGUGAUGAAGGCCUUAGGGUUGCAAAGCUCUUUUACCCGGGAUGAUAAUGACAGUACCGGGAGAAUAAGCUCCGGCUAACUCCGUG